UCUUAACCACCUGGUGCUGCGCUGAAAAGUUUCCUGAACUGGGUUUUGUGAGGAGCUAGGAGGAAUGACACUGCUGCUGGAGGGAAGCAACCCUCGCUAGGUCAUGUACCGCCGGAGCAAAGCCACCCAGGCAGCCUGCCUUACUCUCACAGAGCAGCUCUCAGGCCCCUGCAUUGCCCUCGUUCUUUCCUUCACUGUUAGGAAGUUCAAACUCAUGCCAGAGUUUCUUUGCACAGGGGAUUAAGACUGUUUCCUCACCCCUGCCUACACCUGUGAACAGCUCACACCUGAUUCCAGCUGGGGACUGAGGGAUUUUGAGGAACCCAGUCCAGAGCAGUGAGGGUCUCAGAGAAAUAAAUGCCUAAUUUUAAAAUCUCUCCUUAUCUUCUUGAGCACGUGGAAGGUAAAUGGAAGAUGAAGGAUAAAGCUAUGAGUGUGUGUUAUAAAGAAGUGGUAUACAGCAGUAAUAUGAACUCAAGGCCUCUCUGGAGUUUAGAUAAUACCUUUAUACGUGUGUUACCUUGAAUCACAGGAAUUGGCGGUGAGAUUGUCAGGAAAUCUUAUGAAAGGCCAGAGGCUAAGGUCUAAAGGCCCUGGGAGGUGCGAAACAGGAGCCUUACUUUUCUUGUCAUUAAUAGGUCAUGCUCUUAAUGUCUGUGUGGUAGAGGGAGGAUAAUACUACCAAGUUAGAGGAAAAGAGGAAAACAAGUAUGUAGUGGUUACCUAUGGUCAAGCAGAUUUGCUUCCUUUAGCAGUGGAAAAAUCCCAAUUCAUUUCUUCUGUAUCUUCUCACCUGACUGUUCCUGAUGGUUUCACCUACCAGUAUGCCUAACACUAAGUAGGCUUUGUAGUAGUUAUGAGCUGUAGUCAUACUUCAUUAAACAGAAAGCUAUGUGUAUUUAAGUUAUUUGUACUGUUGCUUUAUAGAAUCUAAGGCAGACUAAAUGAGUUGGAUGAUAAUCCUGCUCUCCAUAGGUCAGAUCAAUCCCCAUUAACAGGAACAAUUAGUGCCUACACAUAGAAACUUGAGUAAGUCACCAGGUGAGUGCCUUCAGACUGGUAGUAACUAAUUGCCAACAGCAGCGGAUUUAGGAUGCUUAUUCUGCAGGUCAGCUGUGUAUCUCCCUGUAGGCAGAGUUGCCUGCACAUGUCAUUUGGAAGUAGUUUAUAAGCCACCAGUGCUACAUAAGCCACACUUAAGGAGGCUUUGUUUUAGUAAAUGCAUUUUGUCUGUACUACAAAUACAGCUGUCAGCAUUUGGGGGCUGUAAGUAAAAACAACCAGUGUAUGUGUACCAUGCAGUUUUUAAUUUGAAAGGGAAAUAUCUUUUUUUUAUUUUCUGAUAUAAUGACUGGUGCAGAAUUAUAUGGUUGUUAAAUAAUUUCUGAAAGCUAGAAGUCUAUACCCUGUAUGAAUUACCUACUCUGCCACACCAGUCUGCACAACAUGAGAAAAUUCAAGUUCAGAGGUAUUCCUCAGAAGACCUAGAGUUUUCAAUUAGUUUCCUGUUUCAGUAUUCCCAUGAGCCAACUAAGAUCUCAGUCUGGUCCUGCUGCUUUGGUAGGUUUUGAUCUUUCACUGUCUCAUGUGUGUACACACACACUUAAAUGGAGGAAAAGUCCCAAUGGGAUGUUUAUGCGCAAAAUGUUGUGUAAACCCAAACCCAGAACAGAUCUCUGUCUGACUUGUAAUAUACCACAGACAUGCUAAUAUGCUUAAAGGACUGACACUGCAGAAGUUGGAGGCCUUAAGUAACUAACAGAUGGGAAGGUUCCAUCCAUCUGUGAUUGAGCUUUAUUAUAGAUGCAUCAUAGAAAUAAGGAUUAGAAGAGGCUUCAAGAAAUCCUGUACCAAACCACUACGUUCAGCGAGGCUCUUUCGGAUAACUGGAGCGUUAUAAUUGUCAGCACCCCACACGGGCAUGCUGUGUGCUACAGGAAGAUGCUUUCAGCUGCUGCUAUGGCACUGAUGGAAGCUACUGGGCUCCCAAGGCUGAUCCCAGUACCGACACCUCCCUACUGAAAUGAGGCUGAAUCCUCAUCUUCACAUCUUCAUCCACAGCUCCCGUGGGGAGAGGGAAAGGAAAUCUGCAUUGAUUUUAACAGCUGGCUUUGAACAGAGGAGAGGGUUAUAAAUAAAUGUAAAUGAAGAAUGAGGGCAUGCGACUAGAGCCAGGAAGGUCGCGUUUCGGUGUGCCAACAGAUGAGCAAUGCUGAGUGGCAUUUGAGAAAAUGUCACUCUGAAUGUGUAGACACGAUGAUGAUGUCAAAAGCAGCUCCUUUGAAUUGGGAUUCGGGAGGAUCCUCUAUUUAAAUCCUGUCUGAGCUACUGACAGGCUGCGUGACCUUCCAGAGCUCCGUGGGUCAAAUGGGUCCUCGCUGCAACUAAAUAGACUACAAAGGAUUUAUUCUGGGACUGAACUUGAUUUCUCAGACAUCAGUCAACACAGCUGGUUCACUGGGUGGCAGAAAGAAAAAACCCAUAGAUGUCACUGGAAAACACGCAUCUGAAUGGAACCUUUUAGUGCUUGCAAAACUAGAACAGAACCACACAAUUGUUUCCUAAAAUGCAUAAAUAAUUGUUGAUGGUGCUUUAUUGGCAAUAAACUCUGUGAAGGUAACUUAAGGCUUUUUUCCCAAGGUAAUUAGUAGUGUCAUUUUCUUUUCCAAAAGGGUUGUGAUUAUUCUGUAUGUUGCUUAUAACUUUAAAGAUGAUUGAUGCUUCUUUACAUAUUCUGGCAUAAUUUUUUUUCUUAAAAAAAAAUCACAAUUGACUCAGGAAUACAGCACAGGGCUGCACAAAGGUAAGCUCCUUCCAUUGAAAAUACUUUUGGAAUCAGAUUAAAAAAUAAUGGUGGUAAUUAAUGAAAGAAUUUUUAUUAAAAAUAGUUAAACCACAUAAGCAGAGGAUAAAACUAUCUGUAAAAUGGAAGCAAAGAUUGCUUCUAAAUUGGAAGCUUUCUGCUUCUUCACAUGGAAGCUUUUAGAAACCACAAAUUUAUGGAUUUGGGGGUAGAAAUAUCAAGUGAUUUGCUUCUUUGUGGAAAAUGGAGUGAGGGAGUGGUGUUCUCUUACUGAUGUUUAACUCCACUAUUUAUGUUUAAUCAUAAAAGUAGUGGAAAUUUCAAGUGCUAUUCCCCCUAGUUUCACCAAGCUGGGUUCUGGUCGUGUUUUCAAGGCUUGCUGAAAGGAAACUAAAUGCUAAUGUCAGAGCACCUGUGUCACUGGGAGAACUUGGGGAGUUUAGAGUGUGUAAACUGACAGAGACAAUAGUGGUUUACAGGGCAACAGUAAGAGAUGUUUCCAACAAAGGAAAAAAAUACAUAAAGGGUUCUUGUCCCUGCCAUUCCUGUCAUCUAAGCAAAAUGAGUAGUUAUAAACAAAGUUUUUGUUUGUUUGUUUGUUUAAUCCCAACUGCUCCUGUGAUUUAAGUUAGGUAUUUACAAAACAUAAAAUCAAAUGACCUCAAUAAAUAUAACUUUCCAGCUCCA